rnacentral:rRNA from 1 species
UACGAAGGGGGCUAGCGUUGUUCGGAAUCACUGGGCGUAAAGCGCACGUAGGCGGAUCCUUAAGUCAGGGGUGAAAUCCCGAGGCUCAACCUCGGAACUGCCUUUGAUACUGGGGAUCUUGAGUCCGGGAGAGGUGAGUGGAAUUGCGAGUGUAGAGGUGAAAUUCGUAGAUAUUCGCAAGAACACCAGUGGCGAAGGCGGCUCACUGGCCCGGUACUGACGCUGAGGUGCGAAGGCGUGGGGAGCAAACAGG